GGAACAGCCUUUCAACCUCCGAUGAGGAAGAGCUGAUUAUGUUUGGAAGUUCGUGCCAUUGAGAUGAGGAUCUAUGACUAAAUCACUGCAGUCUGGGUACAUACAGUGCACUUUGAAGCUUGGUAAUUUAGUGUAAAUGUUAGAGCGUGAGGGGUCUGACGGGGCCUGAGAGGGAUCUCCUGUGAUCUGUGUGACAAGAGGAGGGGCCUUCCAGGGGAAAGGGCAUCUGCUUUGAAUCCCACCACGCGGGCAGCCUACACCCCACUGCUGUAUUUUCGUCUCCCAUAAGACCUGAAGAUAUUAGAUUAGAUCAGCAAACCACAUCCACUUCAGACCAAUAUUAAUAAACUCCUUUAUAUUGCAUAUGGGUAAAUAUUAUGCAUAUUCGACACUAUGGGUAAAUAUUUUACAUCCAGACCAAUAUUAAUGAGCUCCUUUCCAUUGCAUGAGUAAAUAUGCAUAUGGGACACUAUGGGUAAAUAUUUGUUUAUUGAAUAAGGUUAGGGAAACCUCGUAAGGUCAAAUGUGUGCUAAAAAACAUAAAAGAUUCAUGGACAAUAAAAUGUGUGAGGAAA